rnacentral:misc_RNA from 1 species
GCAAACUUGGUCAUUUAGAGGAAGUAAAAGUCGUAACAAGGUUUCCGUAGGUGAACCUGCGGAAGGAUCAUCAUUGAAUCCAUUACUACAAACCCUGUGAACUGUAUGUUUUAAGAGCAUUUGGUAGGAAGGUGAGGCGCGGCAAGUCGAGCCGAGCCGUGUCCCCUCUCCUCUCGGGGGAAGAGGGGCGCCUGCCAUAUGCUCGCAUUUUAUACAAACUUUUUAUUGAAAACAUUUAAACUAAAAUUAUACUUGAACUAAAACAACUUUCAACAAUGGAUCUCUUGGCUCUCGCAUCGAUGAAGAACGCAGC